CGGCUACUGAACGUGUGUUUACAUAUAAAGACUUCAAAACUCGAGAACAGGAAGGCAAAAUCUGCUCGGAUUACAAAUUACAGAUCCAUGUAGCGGACAAAACUCGGGAGAGACUUUCCAAGAGGUACGCAGGGUUCUCGUAGUCAGGAUUCUGCUUUGAGCUGCAGCAACUACAGACUGAAUGGCAUGUGCGGAGUGCUGUCCAGGAAUUGGAUGAGAAGACUGGCUUUCCCGAUGAGCAUUCUGGAAGGAAACAUGGGUCUAUUCCGAGAAAAGCUACGCGGCAUCAGCAAAAAAAAAAAAAAAAAAGCUUUUUGGAGAAGAAAAGACAGCAAUGCGUCGGCUUUCGGGUAAUUUGAACAAGUUGGAAGAACUUCACUUACAAAGAUAAAUCCAGGCUACUCUUCCUGGUGAACGACAUUCUGUGUGUGCUGCGGUAGUCCAUGAAUACUCGUACAGAUAUGUAACCCUGCUUCUAGCUAAAAGAGGAGGAAGAAGCGAGUGUUGGUUCAUCCUCAAUACAAAUACGGAAAACACGGAAGAUGCUGGACGCAGGCCAUACUACAGCAUUUUACCGCUAGUCAAGGGAUACGACGAUAAUUGAUCAUCCCGCGAGACCUAACCGACCGCCUCCACUCCCAAGAAUAUGGCGAUGGGAGGGAGAAAGUUCAUCUUUUGGGCGUUCUGAGUAGACGAAUGAAACG
rnacentral:sRNA from 1 species